GGGAGGUAGGUGACAAUAAAUAACAAUACGGGGUUCUUUAGGAUUUCGUAAUUGGAAUGAGUACAAUUUAAAUCUCUUAACGAGGAACAAUUGGAGGGCAAGUCUGGUGCCAGCAGCCGCGGUAAUUCCAGCUCCAAUAGCGUAUAUUAAAGUUGUUGCAGUUAAAAAGCUCGUAGUUGAAUUUCGGGGUCAGUAGAUUGGUCAUGCCACUGGUAUGUACUGGUCUCACUGAUUCCUCCUUCCUGAUGAGCCGUAAUGCCAUUAAUUUGGUGUUGCGAGGAAUCUGGACUAUUACUUUGAAAAAAUUAGAGUGUUUAAAGCAGGCUAACGCUUGAAUACAUUAGCAUGGAAUAAUGAAAUAGGACGUUCGAUCUUAUUUUGUUGGUUUCUAAGAUUGACGUAAUGAUUAAUAGGGAUAGUUGGG
rnacentral:rRNA from 1 species